rnacentral:misc_RNA from 1 species
AUGGUCAUUCGACCGCCUAGCAUACAAAUCUCAAGAAAUGCGAACGAUUGAACCACGUUGCACGCUAUCCAGUUCAUCCCAGCAGUGCCGCACCUCACGACACUAAGUUCUCAAAGACAUACCUCAACAAGGACAGAAAGUUCUUGUCCGCCGGAAUGCUUCUAUAUUAUCUGGCGGCCAUAUUCAAGGGCUUACAUCCGCGAGUCGACGACGAUUUUGUGGACAAGCUCAAUUAUCACUAUACUUCUGCUAUUAUAUUCGCGUUUGCGAUUAUUGUGUCUGCCAAGCAGUACGUAGGUUAUCCGAUACAAUGUUGGGUGCCUGCGCAGUUCACCGAUGCUUGGGAACAGUACACCGAAAACUAUUGUUGGGUGGAAAACACAUACUACCUCCCGUUAACAAGUGCAUUUCCAUUAGAAUACGGUGACAGGAGGGCACGACAAAUCAGUUACUAUCAAUGGGUGCCGUUUGUGUUAGCGCUCGAAGCGUUAUGUUUCUACAUCCCGUGCAUAAUGUGGAGAGGACUGCUGCACUGGCAUUCUGGAAUCAAUGUGCAAUCAUUGACUCAAAUGGCAUGCGAUGCACGAAUGAUGGAUGCUGAUGCCAGGGCAGCCACCGUGCAGACAAUUGCAGGGCACAUGGAAGACGCUCUUGAAAUUCAACGAGAGGUCACCGAUGUGUCGGGCAUGUGUGUCCAGAAGCGAUGGGCAAACUAUGUGACAUUACUAUAUGUAUUUAUUAAAAUGCUCUACCUUGGAAAUGUUGUAUUACAAGUGUUUAUGUUAAACAGUUUCCUUGGUACUGACAACCUUUUUUACGGCUUUCACAUUUUGAGAGAUUUGUUGAAUGGUCGUGAAUGGGAAGUUAGUGGGAACUUUCCACGUGUAACUAUGUGUGAUUUCGAGGUACGAGUACUGGGUAAUGUGCAUCAUCAUACAGUCCAAUGCGUGCUAAUGAUUAACAUGUUUAAUGAGAAAAUAUUUUUGUUCCUUUGGUUCUGGUACUUCAUGGUAGCUUUUGUGUCAGCAGUGUCCAUGUUCCAUUGGAUUAUUAUAUCUUUCUUACCAGGACAGCACAUGAAGUUCAUCAGAAAAUAUCUACGAGCUACAGAUUUGGCAACUGACAGGCAGUCGGUGAAAAAGUUUGUUCACAAGUUCCUCGGAUAUGAUGGAGUGUUUUGUAUGAGAAUGAUUUCGGCACAUGCUGGAGAUAUUCUUGCUACAGAACUAAUUGUUGCUCUGUGGCAUAACUUCAAUGAUCGUGUCAGGAAGAUACAAUUCAACUCAACGGAAUCCCUCAACCACUAACCACCACAACUCACCACUACCUCCAGCCAACACAGUCCAAUCGAGAUGUUCGAAGGCGGUGUCACUCAGUCACCUAGCAAAUUAGACGCCAAUUUCAAAACGUGGCUUCUCGGCCAGACGAGGGGCAAGCCGCCCUUCGACGGCUCAAAUCCGACGCGUGGAAAGAAACGCCGAAAAUCAGAUGGUUACUUCACGUUCGUCUAA